ensembl:snoRNA SNORA70 Small nucleolar RNA SNORA70
CUGCAGCUAAUGAAGCCAACCAUGCUCCUUUCCUCAUGGGGGCCUGGAGUGCAAUGGCUGCAAAUAGCAGCAUCCUUGGUAGUAUGUGCAGCCUGUUGCUUAUAUAGGUUGCUCUAAGGGACCUCAGAGACAUUC